rnacentral:rRNA from 1 species
CCUACGGGUGGCAGCAGUGGGGAAUAUUGGACAAUGGGGGGAACCCUGAUCCAGCGAUGCCGCGUGAGUGAAGAAGGAUUUCGGUAUGUAAAGCUCUAUCAGCAGGGAAGAAAAUGACGGUACCUGACUAAGAAGCCCCGGCUAACUACGUGCCAGCAGCCGCGGUCAUCCGUAGGGGGCAAGCGUUAUCCGGAUUUACUGGGUGUAAAGGGGGCGUAGGCGGGGCAGCAAGUCUGAUGUGAAUGGUGUGGGCCCAACCCCUGGACUGCAGUGGAAACUGUUGAACUGGAGGAUAGGAGAGGUAAGUGGAAGUCCUAGUGUAGCGGUGAAAUGCGUAGAGAUCAGGAGGAA